CGAACUUCUCAGGGCGGGGUGAAACUCCCCACCGGCGGUGACAGCCCGCGAGCGCCUUUCGCAAGACAGGGUCAGCAGAUCCGGUGAAACUCCGGGGCCGACGGUUAAAGUCCGGAUGAGAGAGGGGGGCG
rnacentral:ncRNA from 2 species